GAUGAACGCUGGCGGCGUGCCUAAUACAUGCAAGUCGAGCGAACGGACGAGAAGCUUGCUUUUCUGAUGUUAGCGGCGGACGGGUGAGUAACACGUGGAUAACCUACCUAUAAGACUGGGAUAACUUCGGGAAACCGGAGCUAAUACCGGAUAAUAUUUUGAACCGCAUGGUUCAAAAGUGAAAGACGGUCUUGCUGUCACUUAUAGAUGGAUCCGCGCUGCAUUAGCUAGUUGGUAAGGUAACGGCUUACCAAGGCAACGAUGCAUAGCCGACCUGAGAGGGUGAUCGGCCACAGUGGAACUGAGACGCGGUCCAGCCCCCUAGGGGGGGCAGGAGUAGAAUAUCUUCCGCAAGGGGCGAAAGCCUGACGGAGAAACGCCGCGUGAGUGAUGAAGGUCUUGGGUGCGUAAAACUCUGUUAUUGGGGAAAAACAUAUGUGUAAGUAACUGUGCACAUCUUGACGGUACAUAAUCAGAAAGCCACCGAUAACUAUG
rnacentral:rRNA from 1 species